rnacentral:misc_RNA from 1 species
GAUGAAGAACGUAGUGAAAUGCGAUAAGUAAUGUGAAUUGCAGAAUUUAGUGAAUCAUCGAAUGUUUGAACGCACAUUGCGCCCCCUGGUAUUCCGGGGGGCAUGCCUGUCCGAGCGUCAUUGCUGCCCUCAAGCCCGGCUUGUGUGUUGGGCCUUGCUCCCCCGGGGGCAGGCCCGAAAGGCAGUGGCGGCACCGCGUCCGAUCCUCGAGCGUAUGGGGCUUUGUCACCCGCUCUGUAGGCCCGGCCGGCGCUUGCCGACCCCAAUCAAUCUUUUUUCAGGUUGACCUCGGAUCAGGUAGGGAUACCCGCUGAACUUAAGCAUAUCAAUAAGCGGAGGA